rnacentral:rRNA from 1 species
AACGAACGCUGGCGGCAUGCCUAACACAUGCAAGUCGAACGAAGCCUUCGGGCUUAGUGGCGCACGGGUGCGUAACGCGUGGGAAUCUGCCCCUCGGUUCGGAAUAACAGUUAGAAAUGACUGCUAAUACCGGAUGAUGACGAAAGUCCAAGGAUUUAUCGCCGAGGGAUGAGCCCGCGUAGGAUUAGCUUGUUGGUGGGGUAAUGGCCCACCAAGGCGACGAUCCUUAGCUGGUCUGAGAGGAUGAUCAGCCACACUGGGACUGAGACACGGCCCAGACUCCUACGGGAGGCAGCAGUGGGGAAUAUUGGACAAUGGGCGAAAGCCUGAUCCAGCAAUGCCGCGUGAGUGAUGAAGGCCUUAGGGUUGUAAAGCUCUUUUACCAGGGAUGAUAAUGACAGUACCUGGAGAAUAAGCUCCGGCUAACUCCGUG